GUCCGUAUCGAUUAGUGGUUAAAUCAUCUCGUUGUGGCUCCUACUCCGAGAAGCCGCAGGCUCGAAUCCUGCUACGGACA